AAAACGGCCCUUUUGAGGGCCACCGUAAUUAAAAAGUUAUCUUUA
rfam:Macrostomum lignano uti_cns_0009827, whole genome shotgun sequence.